CCGAGUUUACAACUCCCAAACCCCUAUGUGAACAUACCUAUCGUUGCUUCGGCGGGACCGCCCCGGGCGCAUCUCUUUUGCUGCUGCCCGGAACCAGGCGCCCGCCGGAGGCCCCAAACUCUUGUAUUUUAUAGUGGAUUUCUGAGUGGCAUAACGCAAUAAAUCA
rnacentral:misc_RNA from 2 species